GGUUUUGUGGUGUAGUGGUUAUCGCGUCUGCUUUACACGCAGAAGGUCCCUGGUUCGAGCCCGGGCGGAACCU
rnacentral:tRNA from 1 species